AACCCUAGCUCACACGCAUCCACGCUCGUGACCCGUCUCUCUCGGUCUCUUUGCUACGGAAAAGAAGGCGGCGACGGAGACUUCUGCUUCGUCAGCGGCGGUGGUGGCUGUGGCUGCGGCUGCGGUGCACCGGCGAGGGGCCCUAAGCGGCGUGGCCAGCCGGAGGUCCAACUCCAAGCUGUCCCCCCCCCCUCCCCCAAGUGACGCGGCCAGCCGGAGCUUCAAGUGGUGCGGCCAGCCAGAUCUCCAAGUGGCGGCGGCGCGGCAGUGUGCAAUACGAGGACGGGUGAGGCAGCACGAGCAGUUCUUCGUCUUCCCCAAUCCCAUGCAGCGGCUUUAUCUUCAGUUCUUUCUCUUCCCCAACCGUAAGCAGCAGGCGGACACCAUGGCAGGCAAGUGACAUACCAAGAAUACGAUUUUUCUUCUGAUGUGGAAGACCAAAGUGUACAGUCAUGUUUCAAUGAUUUAUAUAGGGGAUUAAUUGAAAGUUGGAGUAAUCUUGGCAGCAAGAACGUCAACUUGUUAACGCUGAAAUUCUUUUGUCACCUAUUUGAAAGAUAAACCUUGAGGAUUUCUGCAGCAUUGUAUCUCAAUGCAACAUGUUGCAAGAGCAGGAGAAGUGAGAAUGAUAAGUGUAGCUGGUCUGAAGAUGUGUGUACUGUAGUUUUGCUUUUGCAUGGCCUAACCUUGACAUUGCAUCAACUAUAUGCUUCUAUGUUUGCUUGAUGUCAGCCAGCUGGUCACAUGUACUUAUUUAUAUACAUGAAUGUGAGUAUGAUUAAUGUGCACAUUUGUAUAUGUCAUUCAAUAUUGUAUUGAUCUGAAUGACUACUCUAGUUUUAAAUACAUGUGGAUUAUUUUUUUUA